UCAAGUGUAUAAAACAUGCAGAUUAUUUGCCUGACAUCUGUGUUAUUGAAAGCAGAAUUGUACAAGGUAGAGAGAAGUGAACAAAUGAAUCAACAGCAUCCUUUCCUGAUGAGAUGCGGACAUUAAAUACAAGGCGAAAGGUUAGGAUCGAGAGGUGCCUUUUGGCAAUAGACUCCCAGAACAAUUAGCAACUGCUGGCGUUUAGAAGACUAAAGAGAAUCUGGCAAAAAAAAGAAAAAAGAAAAAAAGAGAAGACUAAAGAGAAGACACGGUGCCUCAUGAGUGGGCUAGACUAGAAAUACAGAAAACUUUGGUCCUUGCGUUCAAAAAAAGGAAGAAGAAAACUGAGUGGGCUGAACCAAACUUUGCUCCAGGAGGGUGCCAUCGGUGCCAGCAGUGAAACCGAUGAUAAGUAAGAAGAAGAAGCUCAGUACGGCAACAGUGCUUGGGCCGCUGGUGGUGGUCGCCUAUUGGUGACUGCCUGAAUGGACCGUGAUGCUUCAGUGCUAUGUUCGGAAGGCUCAGGUCCAAGAACCGAGCAGUUGGCCAGCGUCGGCGGGAUCCCCGAUUCCGGCAGGUAACAUCCCGGUGGGUGAAGCUAUUCCCCGUGAGCGACAAGUGUUGCGACAGCACAUUUCUCGUCCUGACAGCAUUCUCAUCUGGAAUAUGGUAGUGGCUCACAUCGGUGUACUUCACGUCGCAACUGUUUGGUACGUAUUCCUCGUCCAUGUCUAUCACUGUGUUAUGCAACAUGCAGCAUACACGGAUUACUUUACCAAACUCCUGUAGAUUUUCUGGACGCAGGCACUUCCACGUGUCUUUUAAUCUUGCCAAACUCCUCAUAGUGACGUCUCUGGCUGCAGAGAGUCUCCUAUUGAACUCCACUCUGGGUUCUGAGAGAUUCUUCCCCCUGUAAGGUGUGAGAAGCCAGGGCAGAAGGGGAUAUCCUGCGUCACCAAUUAUAUAUUUCCCAACUUCCGAACCAUCUGAUAUCUCCAGCUUGCUUCCGGUCAGCCACUCACCCUUCUCACGCUGUGUGGGGAUUAGAGAGUUGUGGCUCUCGCGACCUGGCCAUACCACAUGAACAUUGGUGAACCUCAUAUAUCUGGAUCAACGACGACUUGCACUGCCAUUCUGUAAUCUAUCUCAUUCUCGCGGUUUGAUUCAACUAACCAAAGGCGCAAUCUCGUGAUUCUGGCCAGCGCUCGUGGUAGCCUGCUCGCAUCAUCAUAGCCUCCACGAACCUACAAGUUACCACCGAGACGAUCGACUCGCUUAUACUGAAAUCAGAUGCUACAGUCUCCAAUGACCCACCAGACAUCAACAUUCUUAGAGAAACAGCUACUUGAUCUUCUAAACACAUCGCUCUCCCAUCAAGAAAGGUGUCACUGCUCACGUCUUCUAUAGACUUCGCCAAGCAGCAGAUGUAUUUGAGAAGGUUCUUCUUUUCAUUUGGAAGAAAUUUUCAAAUCUUUGUUCGUCCUCGGGAAAAGAUAAAGUUCCUGAGAAAAAUAAUAUGUAAACUGGUUUUGAUGAUAAAUAAAAGGACAGAGUAUCACAA